rnacentral:rRNA from 1 species
GACAGAGGGUGCAAACGUUGUUCGGAAUUACUGGGCGUAAAGCGCGUGUAGGCGGACCACCAAGUCGGACGUGAAAGCCCUGAGCUCAACUCAGGAACUGCAUCCGAAACUGGCGGUCUGGAGUAGUGGAGAGGAAAGCAGAAUUCCUGGUGUAGAGGUGAAAUUCGUAGAUAUCAGGAGGAACACCGGUGGCGAAGGCGGGUCUCUGGGCCGAUACUGACGCUGAGGAGCGAAAGCGUGGGGAGCGAACAGG